AAAAAUGUGGCGACUAAGAAACACUUAAUGUCAACAAGAUUUUCUGAUUGACAAGAGAAAAGGUCAAACAGGAACUUCAAUUGUGAACAUUGCAGAGAACACACCCAUUAGAAGAUGACCCUCAGAAAUAGGACAAUUAAUGAAUAAAAUGGACAGAGGCAGAACUGAAGGAGAUGCAUGAAAUGAGGAAUAUUUCAAAGAUUGCCUGAGCAUAACCACUGCUACUGGAUAAACAUAUGGCAAUAUAAAAGAGCAGGGUCAAUGGAGGUAUCAUACAGUAUAGGCCAUGGGAGACCCUGAAGAAGAAAGUAUUGAACAGAAACACAAAUAAAACCAUUUUGACAU